GAUGAACGCUGGCGGCGUGCCUAAUACAUGCAAGUCGAGCGAACGGACGAGAAGCUUGCUUCUCUGAUGUUAGCGGCGGACGGGUGAGUAACACGUGGAUAACCUACAUAUAAGACUGGGAUAACUUCGGGAAACCGGAGCUAAUACCGGAUAAUAUUUUGAACCGCAUGGUUCAAAAGUGAAAGACGGUCUUGCUGUCACUUAUAGAUGGAUCCGCGCUGCAUUAGCUAGUUGGUAAGGUAACGGCUUACCAAGGCAACGAUGCAUAGCCGACCUGAGAGGGUGAUCGGCCACACUGGAACUGAGACACGGUCCAGACUCCUACGGGAGGCAGCAGUAGGGAAUCUUCCGCAAUGGGCGAAAGCCUGACGGAGCAACGCCGCGUGAGUGAUGAAGGUCUUCGGAUCGUAAAACUCUGUUAUUAGGGAAGAACAUAUGUGUAAGUAACUGUGCACAUCUUGACGGUACCUAAUCAGAAAGCCACGGCUAACUACGUG
rnacentral:rRNA from 1 species